rnacentral:rRNA from 1 species
UAGUAGUGUAUAUUAAAGUUGUUGCAGUUAAAAAGCUCGUAGUUGAAUGUUGGUGUCGAACGAGCGGUCAGCUUCGGCUGUACUGCUCUCUCGACUCCUUCCUUCUGUGGACUACGUCGCACUUUACUGUGUGGCGCUAGGACGCAGAUCGUUUACUGUGAAAAAAUUAGAGUGUUCAAAGCAGGCCGUACGCUUGAAUACAUUAGCAUGGAAUAAUGGAAUAGGACGUCGGGCCUAUUUUGUUGGUUCUAGGACCGUCGUAAUGAUUAAUAGGGACAGUUGGGGCCGUUUAUAUUCCGUAGUCAGAGGUGAAAUUCUUGGAUUUACGGAAGAUAAACUACUGCGAAAGCAUUCGGCAAGGAUGUUUUCGUUA